rnacentral:rRNA from 1 species
UACGAAGGGGGCUAGCGUUGUUCGGAAUUACUGGGCGUAAAGCGUACGUAGGCGGAUUGUUAAGUGAGGGGUGAAAUCCCGAGGCUCAACCUCGGAACUGCCUUUCAUACUGGCAAUCUUGAGUCCGGGAGAGGUGAGUGGAACUCCUAGUGUAGAGGUGAAAUUCGUAGAUAUUAGGAAGAACACCAGUGGCGAAGGCGGCUCACUGGCCCGGAACUGACGCUGAGGAGCGAAAGCGUGGGGAGCGAACAGG